rnacentral:piRNA from 1 species
UUUCUUACCAUUCCUCAGUCC